GACGAACGCUGGCGGCGUGCCUAAUACAUGCAAGUUGAGCGCUGAAGGUUGGUACUUGUACCAACUGGAUGAGCAGCGCACGGGUGAGUAACGCGUGGGGAAUCUGCCUUUGAGCGGGGGACAACAUUUGGAAACGAAUGCUAAUACCGCAUAAAAACUUUAAACACAAGUUUUAAGUUUGAAAGAUGCAAUUGCAUCACUCAAAGAUGAUCCCGCGUUGUAUUAGCUAGUUGGUGAGGUAAAGGCUCACCAAGGCGAUGAUACAUAGCCGACCUGAGAGGAUGAUCGGCCACAUUGGGACUGAGACACGGCCCAAACUCCUACGGGAGGCAGCAGUAGGGAAUCUUCGGCAAUGGACGAAAGUCUGACCGAGCAACGCCGCGUGAGUGAAGAAGGUUUUCGGAUCGUAAAACUCGGUUGGUAGAGAAGAACGUUGGUGAGAGUGGAAAGCUCAUCAAGUGACGGUAACUACCCAGAAAGGGACGGCUAACUACGUG
rnacentral:rRNA from 1 species